GACAGAAGUAUUUACAUUGCAUAUCACGGCAAGAGAGAAGGUUGAAGAAUGACUUAAGAUUAACGGGCUAAGAACUUGAAAAAAUGAAGUUGACAUUAACUGAGAUAUGUGAAGCCCUAAGAUGUGACCUAUCUUCAGGGUAGACAUCAAACACAAAGGAGUCACGAGUCAGAUAGCAACUUUCAAGCUGCUAACGGCACUUUGAUCACACUGUUGACCAGGUGGGAUGGAUUUGAAGAAAAUAUGAUUGCAAGUGGAGAGAACACCAGGAGGCUCUGGUUAUAGUCGGGCAAGAGGUGAUAAGGACCUGGGGUAUGCUGUAUCCUUUACAUUGUUGUUGUUGUUAUUAUUAUUAUUAUUAUUAUCACUAUUAUUAUUAUUAUUAUUGUUGGUGAGGAAGACUGGCCUUGAGCUAACAUCUGCUGCCAAUCUUCCUCUGUUUUGCUUGAGG
rnacentral:lncRNA from 1 species